AAUGCAGUUCUCAGCUUGCUGCUGUUCAUAAAGGAAGCAGUGACAUAAUAUUGAAGACGGGAGAAGGGCACUAUACAACAGGUGUGUUCUGACAUUGAGAAAUAGGAACUUCAGGUGUGCAGCAUUUCGUUCAGAGUCUAAGGCUGUAUCACUAACAGCCAAAGGCGUGGGCACCAAUACGACUGUUAUAGUCUCUUUAGGGCUCCUCACAAGUUUCAUCUGAAACUUUCAGUUGUAUGUGGGGCCACCACAAAUCUUUUGGGCGUGGAGAAGCCACAGAGUAGAAGGCAGAGAAGCAAGAGUGGGGAGAAUGACCAUAGGGGAGUAAUAUAAAGAAUUCUAAUGUCAAGACUGUACACUGGAUUACUGAGAUGGAAAGAUCACACGU